GCCCGGAUGGCGAAACUGGUAGACGCAUCGGACUUAAAAUCCGCCGGGGGAAACCCCAUGCCGGUUCGAUUCCGGCUCCGGGCACCA
rnacentral:tRNA from 5 species